rnacentral:rRNA from 1 species
CGUGUAGGCGGUAGCGCAAGUUGGGUGUGAAAGCCCCUGGCUUAACCAGGGAGGGUCAUCCGAAACUGCGCUGCUUGAGGGCAGCAGAGGAAAGUGGAAUUCCAGGUGUAGUGGUGAAAUGCGUAGAUAUCUGGAGGAACACCGGUGGCGAAGGCGGCUUUCUGGGCUGUACCUGACGCUGAGGCGCGAAAGCGUGGGGAGCGAACUGGAUUAGAUACCCAGGUAGUCCACGCCAUAAACGAUGGACACCAGGUGUGGGGGGUAUCGACCCCCUCUGUGCCGAAGCUAACGCAUUAAGUGUCCCGCCUGGGGAGUACGGCCGCAAGGCUAAA